ensembl:lncRNA novel transcript
CUUGCAGUUUGAUCUCAGACUGCUGUGCUAGCAAUCAGCGAGACUCCGUGGGCAUAGGACCCUCCCAGCCAGCUGAUUAAAUUCUAGUUCCCCAUGAUGCAUGGAACUUGCUUGAGGACUGGUGGAGUACCUGGACUAUAGACUUCAUUCUGAAAUCCCACCAACUCCCAAAGAACCCAUCAUACAGCCCAUGGUGCAUGCACACUCCAGGUACCACUACCAUAUGACUACAGGCCCAACCACCACCUCUUGAAAGCCAGAGUGGACCUACCUCUCUUGAGGCUGGCCUUGUAGCCAAUCUAGUUGGCUUCUGUGUGUUCCAUAGCCUUGCCAUGUGCCUUGGACCAUGCAAUAUUGAUGAUGAUACAAGUAAUCCUUUAGUGAGCACUUAUCAGUGUACCGGGUGCUGUGCUAAAUGUGCUUCAAACAACAUUUCAUUGAACUCCCACGACUCAAUGAAUUCAUUUCUAUUGCAGAUGAAGCCUCUGAGAAGUUAGGUAAUUUUUCUCUAGGUUACAGUGCAAGUAAGUACAAGAGCCAGGACUAAAACUCAGGCUUGUUAGAAGUGUCCAAAAUCCAUGUUCCUAAUGACUUGUAGCAUGAGGGUUCCCAGAAGCUAGCUCUGAGAUGGAGAUUUGUAUGCAGGAGAU